UACGUAGGGGGCAAGCGUUGUCCGGAUGUAUUGGGCGUAAAGAGCGUGUAGGCGGCCUGAAGGGUCAGCUGUGAAAACUCGAGGCUCAACCUCGAGACGUCGGUUGAAACCAUCUGGCUAGAGUCCGGAAGAGGAGUGUGGAAUUCCCGGUGUAGCGGUGAAAUGCGCAGAUAUCGGGAAGAACACCCGUGGCGAAGGCGGCACUCUGGGACGGUACUGACCCUGAGACGCGAAAGCGUGGGGAGCGAACAGG
rnacentral:rRNA from 1 species